UAAAUAGCUGAUUACGUCAAGGGUUAUUAUUGGACUCGCCUCUUCAGAAAUUGUAGGUCCAUAGCCUUUGUUACCUUUGGUCAUUCGGGGGCCCACACGUCAUUAUAAAUUAAAUUACAUACUCUGGUUAUCUGUGUUACUGUAUGUAUGGAUUUAUUUUGCUUUUACAGAACAAAAAUUAUUUACGCAGAGUUCUAUAAAUAUUGUUUUAUAAGAAAAUAGAAUAUUUCAUUUAAUAUUUUUAUUUUAUUCUAUUAGCUACAAUUUCACCCUAAAUGAAUGUUUUAGACAUAAAAACUUGUUUUUAGUUAUGAAAUGUGUAUUUUCCCAUAUAUAUUAUAUUUUCAGCAAGUUUCAAAAUUUUUGGAAAAAAUGAUCAAAAUGCCUUUGUAAGACAAAAAAUAUUUUUUUUAUUUUUGUUUUGAUUUGGAAAUAGCUUAUAAUCUUUUAAAUAUGAUAUUUAGUAAUUAUUGCUCACAGGGGAGGUGCGAAAACUGAUAUUAAGCCUUGCGAGGUUUCAGUUGGCAUUCAAGGUAAUGAAUGUCUAUCGGAACAUCGCGACAAUUGUCACGGGUUAGAGGAGAGUACCGGGUCGUGACAUUGUGUAAUAAAUAUAGCCGUGCAUGUGCGCGAUGUGGGGGAGCACAUGCCAGUGAUGACAAGUGCGGGAGUGUGGAUGAUGAUAUUGCUUGUGCACGAUAUAAGGGAUGCACAGGAUGGUAUUAGCUGUGCACGAUGUGGGGGAUGCACACGAUGACUUCAGCUAUGUGCGGUGUGGGAGUGCACAUGAGCUGGGUAAGGCGGUGGUGGUGUAUAUGCUUAUAUAUAUUUACUAUAUAGAGAGGUUUGGAAUUAAUAUGUGACUACAUUAACUGUUGAAACUUGAUUAUUGUCAAUGUGUUCAAUUUGAUGUUCAAUAUGGCAAGAAUGGAUUUUUGUGGCAUGUGAAAACCCCUUUAUUUUCAUCUACCCUAAAUCUCGCUGCAGCAAAAAUGGAUUCUCGCUGUAGUGAGAAACUCUCGAGUGGUGGGGCGUGAACCAGCCCUGCUUCUCACUGCAGCAAAAAUGGAUUCUCGCUAUAGCGAGAAACCCUUGGGUGGCUACAUUCCAAACCCUCACCAGAAUUUCGCUGCAGCGAGAAACCCUCGGGUAGCAGAUAAUUUGUGCUCGAAUUUCACUAUUGCGAGAAUGCCUUUCUGUUGCAGCGAGGAUCAAUCUAUUUCGCUUGACUUGCUUGAAUGCUACUAAAGUUUUCACUCUUCAAAUUCUUUGUUGUUCAUGGAUCCUUCAUCAUCAAGUGAUUAAACAACUAAGGGUUCAAAUGAGGGGUUCUAAUAAGAAUUAAACUAAAUUGCAUUGUUUUUUUAAUAUAAGUGUAUCAUGAUUUUUAAACUUUUCUUAUCAUUUGCUUGUUCCCUUCCUAUGUUCACUCACUGAAUUUAUACUCACUAUUUUUAACUUCAUGUUUUCAGAUCAAAAGGCAGUUGGAACCUAGGUCGAGACAUCCACGUAGAUUCGUUUCCUUGGUAGGUAUCUCGACAUUCAAUAGUUGUAUCUUCACCAAGGUCACUUCGCUAGAAGUCAAGUGUCCUUUUGUUGUGUAUAGAUAAAUGCGAUGUAAAUUACUAACAUACAUGUCUUGGAUAAUAUAUGUAUAUUUUGAUUGGUAAUGCCAUUAUGAGUUUGGCUAUGGUUAACAUUAUUUUUGGUUCAUAUAAAU
rnacentral:lncRNA from 1 species